UGGAGAAAUUUUCUCUUGAAGCCUCAAAUC
rnacentral:piRNA from 1 species